UUGCCGGAGGUUCUAGAAUUGAGACCCUGUUGCCCAGCAACCUUGAUAAUACACAUAGAGUGACUUUUCCUCCUUCCUGGGCUUGCUCACUUCCUUUCCCUUUACCCCUGCUUCCUGGGAUCUCCUCCCAAACGAACGAGUCCUGUCUCAGGCUCUGCUUCUGGGGGAACCCAAGCUAAGAGAGAAGUGCUAUUAACAACCGGAGGAUCUGAAUGCCAUCUCUUACCUUUCAGAAUUGUCACUUACACCUAAACCAGAGAGGAGGAGAGUCCCAACGCUGGCUUUGAAACACCUCUGACCCACAGGAAAUGGCUGUUUUCAAGUGUCAGGAGGAAGCCUGGGGAGCUUGACUUGGAAAGACUUACAGUGCAGUGGACAGCAGACACAGCAGAGUGUGGGAGGUAAUGCCUGAAGCUUCACUAGAGGGAUUCAGUGAAAGUUUGCAGCCUGCCUGCAAGGACCUCCCCCAGAGCCUUCCUCAGGAGGCUGGCGGUCAAGCACGGACUCCCCAAAAGAAAGACUGGAGAGGAUAAGUACUCCCAGACUGACAAGUUAACGCGAAGGGCCGGCGCUGGCCCCCCAAGCACCUCUGCAGAGACCCGGGAUGCCAGGGAGGCCCAUUUACAAGCCAGCAAUUCCAAAGGUAUUAGCCCAGAGUCACGAGGAACCCCGGAACACACCCAGCAGAUGACCCCUUGGAGAUCAGCAGAGUUUCCCAAGCACUCUGCCGUGGAUCAUAAUGUACAUAACGGCUCUUCACGUGGACGUGUUGCCAGCUCAACCUCCUUAUAAGAAUUCGGGAUGCGUUACAGAAACACGGCUCUCCAAAACUUCGCGUUCCUUUAAAAUUUCAUUCUGAGGAGUAGUCAUGAGGCCUGCUCUCGCCACGGCCAAGUCCACCACAUUAAAGCAAAUGAAAACCUAACUCAGAUGAUUCAUAUAAAAUUAGUCUUUCCAUAACCUUUUAUAUUAUCAAAGUGCUUUGCCCCUCUGGUGUUGGUCUGUGUAAACCAAGUGAUUCAGCCAGCCAAAACAUCAAGGAGAAAGAUCCCACCAGGCUUUGAUUGAAUUACAUAGUCCAUUUUGUUGUUGUUGUUGGCCAUUGCUGAAGUUUUCGUAUGAAAUUAAAACAAAAGAGCCUACCCCUCCCAGCUAACAUCUCUGUAAGAA